UACAAACCUGAGACUUCAGUUUGCACUGCAUCUACAAACAAGACAGACACUGUGCCUAUGUUCAUGUUUUCUUGGGGUGACAAUGAGGCAGUGAAUUCAACUACUUUGAUAGGAAAGGCACUUUGUGAAACUGGCCAGACCUCCAGAGCAGCAGCCUCUCCUGUUCACACUCUUCUUGGGAAUGUACCUGGUGACCUUAUUGGGGAAUCUGUUCAUCAUCCUGGCCAUUGUCUCUGACCAGCAUCUUCAUACACCCAUGUACUUCUUCCUGGCCAACCUUUCCUUCAUUGAUAACUGCUUAACCUGCACCAUUGUCCCCAAAGUGCUGACUAACAUCCAAACCCAGCAUCAAACCAUCUCCCACACUGGGUGCCUUCUGCAGAUGUAUUUCUUCAUGACAAUGGCCAUGCUUGAUGACUUCCUACUGGCUGUGAUGGCCUAUGAUCGCUAUGUGGCCAUCUGCCUUCCACUACACUACACCACUAUCAUGUGUCCCCAAAGAUGCCUGUUG
rnacentral:lncRNA from 1 species